rnacentral:rRNA from 1 species
GUGUCAGCCGCCGCGGUAAUACAGAGGGUGCGAGCGUUGUCCGGAAUCACUGGGCGUAAAGGGCGCGUAGGCGGCUUGAUAAGCGUGCGGUGAAAGCUCGGGGCUCAACCCCGAGUCGGCCGUGCGAACUGUCGAGCUUGAGCACAGUAGAGGCAGAUGGAAUUCCGGGUGUAGCGGUGGAAUGCGUAGAGAUCCGGAAGAACACCGGUGGCGAAGGCGGUCUGCUGGGCUGUGGCUGACGCUGAGGCGCGACAGCGUGGGGAGCAAACAGGAUUAGAUACCCCGGUAGUCC